rnacentral:rRNA from 1 species
CCCGGAGCCUCCUUUGCGUAGUAACUUUACGUCUCGCACUGGGAUCCGGAGGGACUCUUGCCGUAAAACCCCCCAAUUUUUCCAAAGGUUGACCUCGGAUCAGGUAGGAAUACCCGCUGAACUUAAGCAUAUCAAUAAGCGGAGGAAAAGAAACCAACAGGGAUUGCCUCAGUAACGGCGAGUGAAGCGGCAACAGCUCAAAUUUGAAAUCUGGCCCUAGGCCCGAGUUGUAAUUUGCAGAGGAUGCUUUUGGUGCGGUGCCUUCCAAGUUCCCUAGAACGGGACGCCAGAGAGGGUGAGAGCCCCGUACAGUUGGACACCAAGCCUUUGUAAAGCUCCUUCGACGAGUCGAGUAGUUUGGGAAUGCUGCUCAAAAUGGGAGGUAUAUUUCUUCUAAAGCUAAAUACCGGCCAGAGACCGAUAGCGCACAAGUAGAGUGAUCGAAAGAUGAAAAGCACUUUGAAAAGAGGGUUAAACAGCACGUGAAAUUGUUAAAAGGGAAGCGCUUGUGACCAGACUUGCGUCCGGUGAAUCACCCAGCUCUCGCGGCUGGGGCACUUCGCCGGCUCAGGCCAGCAUCAGCUCGCUGUCGGGGACAAAAGCUUCAGGAACGUAGCUCUCUUCGGGGAGUGUUAUAGCCUGUUGCACAAUACCCUUCGGCGGGCUGAGGUACGCGCUCCGCAAGGAUGCUGGCAUAAUGGUCAUCAGCGACCCGUCUUGAAACACGGACCAAGGAGUCAACCUUAUGUGCGAGUGUUCGGGUGUCAAACCCCUACGCGUAAUGAAAGUGAACGCAGGUGAGAGCUUCGGCGCAUCAUCGACCGAUCCUGAUGUUCUCGGAUGGAUUUGAGUAAGAGCAUAUAGGGUUGGACCCGAAAGAAGGUGAACUAUGCGUGUAUAGGGUGAAGCCAGAGGAAACUCUGGUGGAGGCUCGCAGCGGUUCUGACGUGCAAAUCGAUCGUCAAAUAUGCGCAUGGGGG